GGUCCAGUAGCUCAGGGGAUAGAGCGGCCGCCUCCUAAGCGGCAGGCCAGCAGUUCGAUUCUGCUCUGGAUCA
rnacentral:tRNA from 1 species